rnacentral:tRNA from 1 species
GCACCGGGAAGCUCUGCGGUGGAGCGCCCGGCUCGGGACCGGGUGGACGCAGGUUCGAAUCCUGCUCCGGUGCC